rnacentral:rRNA from 1 species
UACGAAGGUGGCAAGCGUUGUUCGGAUUUACUGGGCGUACAGGGAGCGUAGGCGGUUGGAUAAGCCCUCCGUGAAAUCUCCAGGCUUAACCUGGAAAGUGCAGAGGGGACUGUUCAGCUAGAGGAUGGGAGAGGAGCGCGGAAUUCCCGGUGUAGCGGUGAAAUGCGUAGAGAUCGGGAGGAACAUCAGUUGCGAAGGCGGCCUUCUGGUCCAGUACUGACACUCAAGUGCGAAAUCGUGGGUAGCAAACAUC